rnacentral:rRNA from 1 species
UACGUAGGGUGCGAGCGUUGUCCGGAAUUAUUGGGCGUAAAGCGUGCGCAGGCGGCGCGUUAAGACAGGUGUGAAAGCCCCGAGCUUAACUUGGGAAUUGCGCUUGUGACUGGCGUGCUGGAGUGUGGCAGAGGGAGGUGGAAUUCCACGUGUAGCAGUGAAAUGCGUAGAGAUGUGGAGGAACACCGAUGGCGAAGGCAGCCUCCUGGGCCAGCACUGACGCUCAUGCACGAAAGCGUGGGGAGCAAACAGG